rnacentral:rRNA from 1 species
UACGUAGGGUGCAAGCGUUGUCCGGAAUUAUUGGGCGUAAAGAGCUCGUAGGCGGCUUGUCGCGUCGGCUGUGAAAACCUGGGGCUCAACCCCGGGCCUGCAGCCGAUACGGGCAAGCUAGAAUUCGGUAGGGGAGACUGGAAUUCCUGGUGUAGCGGUGAAAUGCGCAGAUAUCAGGAGGAACACCGGUGGCGAAGGCGCGUCUCUGGGCCGAUAUUGACGCUGAGGAGCGAAAGCGUGGGGAGCGAACAGG